GAGCGAAAAAGACAGCCCCCGGGAAAGA
rnacentral:sRNA from 1 species